rnacentral:lncRNA from 1 species
GCCUGUGUAUGUCAAUAGAUCAUGGAGAGUUAGGUAUGGAAUAUUAAAGUACUUGGACUGUCCUAACUAUGUAGGUCAGUUAGUCUCUGAGGCUUUUGAUGUGGGGCCAAGGUCUUGAAGUCAUUGAAUGGCUCAUCCUAUUGAUGCUAGAGAGCGCUCGUCAAUAGUCAUUGCAAAACAGAACCGAUCUUGGGCUAGAUUAUGAGCCGUAUUCCUUAACUUGAAAUACUUAGAGAGAAAUUCUUGCA